rnacentral:rRNA from 2 species
UAGAGGAAGUAAAAGUCGUAACAAGGUUUCCGUAGGUGAACCUGCG